rnacentral:lncRNA from 1 species
CUCCGAGCUCCCUCCUCCUCCUCCUUUCUCCCCUAUUUAUAGAUCAAUCCUUGAAGCGUCGAGAGGGGGAGAGUGCGUGAUUGCUGGGAUCUGCUGGCUGGAGAAGAAACGGAAGGAGGGAGAGGGCUGAGGCGGAGGAGCUGCAGUCUUGAUCGUGGAAGAGCUGGGGUCACGGUGCGGUUGGAGUGCGCUGGAAGCGACGCGGAUGGUGCGGACGGAGGCUUGAUUGCUGGAGAGAUGCCGCGGGAGCUGGCACGGGUGCUUGGAUGCGAUGGAAUUUCCUUCCUGGAUGGCUGGCUGGAACAGAGGAAAUGGGAGGCUGGAGGUGUGGGGAUUUGGUCGCAGACGGCUAGAGACGCGGUGGAGACACGCUGCGGGACCACUGCUAGCAUCACGGAAGAGGGGAAAACGUGGUGCUAGAUCGCCGGAUCACGGAAUGAAGGAGGCGUUGAUGAAGCGGAAGGAGGGAGGAGCUGCGGGAUGAGCUGGAGGUGUGGACG